GUGGGGAAUUUUGGACAAUGGGCGCAAGCCUGAUCCAGCAAUGCCGCGUGCAGGAAGAAGGCCUUCGGGUUGUAAACUGCUUUUGUACGGAACGAAACGGUCCGGGUUAAUACCCUGGGCUAAUGACGGUACCGUAAGAAUAAGCACCGGCUAACUACGUGCCAGCAGCCGCGGUAAUACGUAGGGUGCAAGCGUUAAUCGGAAUUACUGGGCGUAAAGCGUGCGCAGGCGGUUUUGUAAGACAGGCGUGAAAUCCCCGGGCUCAACCUGGGAAGUGCGGUUGUGACUGCAAGGCUGGAGUGCGGCAGAGGGGGAUGGAAUUCCGCGUGUAGCAGUGAAAGGCGUAGAUAUGCGGAGGAACACCGAUGGCGAAGGCAAUCCCCUGGGCCUGCACUGACGCUCAUGCACGAAAGCGUGGGGAGCAAACAGGAUUAGAAACCCUUGUAGUCC
rnacentral:rRNA from 1 species